ACCGUCGCGAACAGACAAUAAAUCUGAAACGGUUACAGCAACUAGUCGGCCGACGUCGAUAGCAGGUGGAGCGGCGGUUGUGAGCGGCGAGCGUGGCGGUUACUGGUUCACGCGGCGGCCUUGGCUUCGACGGAGACAGAAUCGGCGAUGGAGACGGCAGAUCGGCGCGCGGGACGACUGCUGCAAGGUUGCUUUGCGAACCGGAGAUGGAGACGGCAGAUCGGCGCGCAGGCUGCGGCGGGAAGAAAAUGGAAGAGAAAGGAUCGGCGGCUGACUGCGGCUGGGCUGCGGCGGGAAGAAAACAGAAGGGAAAGGAUCGGCGGCGGAAAAAGAAUCGAAUUUCUACCCUAAUUGCCACAAUUAACAUGUAACCAUAAACUAAUCAAAUUAGGGUUUUAAGAAUAUUACCUUUGAAGCUUUCAAAAGUUUGAUAUCUUCUUACAAUUCAAACCGAGACACCACUAGUACUCAACUGCUAUCCUCUAGACAAAGAACCGGUUGUGGACCCAAUUUUGUGUAGAAAGUAAUGGAGAUAAAAUGGUUAGAAGCUUUCUUUUUUCUUUUGUUGAGAUGAUGAAAAUGAUAAAAGAGGCAAAAGUCCUUCAACAUUUGAAAACACUCUAUUUAUAGCCUAAUUACAUGCAAAAAUGCAUGCAAUUCAAUUGCCAAAUCUCAACACCUAAUAUUCCACUAACAAUUAGUGGAACUUAGUGGGCUAGGUGUCUAUAUCUCAUAUAGCCACAUAUCCCACUAAGAGUUAGUGGGAUUAUCCAACAAAAUGUUGGAUUUUCCCACUAACUUAGUCCAAGGGUAAAAUGGUCAUUAGAUUUUUCUAGUCAAAAGUCAAAUUGACUUUUCUGUCAAAAGUCAAAUUGACUUUUCUAAGUCAAAAGUCAAUAUUUUGACUUUUUACCAUUUUGUCCGUCUUGACUAAUUCCAACCUCCCGAGCAUGAAUCCGCAUUCAUUUUUCCAAAAUUCAAAUCACAUUUGAAUAUAAGGCCGGUCAAAGUUUGACUUUUCAAAGUCAAAAGUCAACAUUUUGACUUUUUACUAUUUUUGACCAAUUCCGAGCUUCUUAGUAUGAAUCCGCAUUCAUACUUAUAGUAUGUAAACAUAAAGCUCUAUUUCUAAUUAGAAGACCGACGACUAUAUCACUGUAUUGUCGGUUUCCUUUCUUCUCCCAAUUCGAACAAUUCGACUUAUUUCAUCACACUGUUCUAAGUUUAAUCCAUAUGAGCUAGCAGAGGAACCUAAUGGACCUAUAGAUCAUGGGCUCCAACGAUUCAAGAUUAACUAGCUAAACUCUUUUAAACCGAGUUAAUCAACAUUCGUUAACUAACGGGUCAUUCCACUAAAGUCCCGUAGUUGCACUCCCCUCACUAUAGAUAUAUUUGUGUCCAUUUGAUAAAACCAUAAUCAGUAAGUUAAUCCUUCACAGGUUGCUCGUAACCUUGGCUGGGUCAAAAUACCGUUUUACCCCCAAGAUUACAUCUUGCUCCUUAAGUCCCACUAAUCCACUAUUGAACAAUUGGUUUAAGGUUCAACCUAUAAACUUAAUCCCUCUCGGGCCAAUGAGAGGGUGGGGCCCCUUGUUCAAGACUUGGAUUCAGUGCUUAAGAGAGCAACCUAUCUACUAACCCUAAAGCGGUAGGAGUGAAUUCCAUCUUGUACCCUAUGUUCCCAGCUAUCCACCCGAUCUUACCCCUGAAAUGGGAGGCUUAUUGGGCCAACGCUGAUGAGCUGCCCUCACCUAUGCAGAUCUAAGGAUAAUCUCGUGUGAACAGGAGUUCAUAGUUAACUCAGGAUUAAGACUAAGUUACCUAGGUCAUCAAUAAUUGAGAUAGUCAGUUUUAAACAGUAAACGGUGUUAUAACGUAAAAAUGACUAUUCAUGGUUCAGUCUUAUGUAAACAUUUUACAUAGGAUGCCCCCACUUUCAUGUCUCUACAUGAACGAUUAGGAUCACCUCGUUUGUACUACAAAGUGGGCCGCAUCCAUAGUUUCUCUAAAUAAGGCGCCCAACCUUUAUUUCAUAUACUAUAGACUAUUUAGGCUAUAUACUCGAACUUGAUCCACGUUUAUGUUUACACAUAAAGUUCAAGUUUAUUAAAAAAUAGCCUUGGAACUUGAUUUAUUGGAUUUAAGAUUAUAAUAUUUAAUUUCUCAAUAACAACUUUAUUGAACAGAAUAUGAUUUACAAACUACGAGUUUUAGGACAAAAAUUCCAACAAACUCCCACUUGGACUAAAAUUCCUAGUGGUAUGAGAGAUGUGGUGUGAGAGAAUAUAAAACUAGGGCACAUGGCCAAUAAGUCUCCCACUUGUCCUAGUUUACAAACAUCGUAGACCUAAACUGUGUAGGUGACCCUCAAACACUUUAGCCGUGAGAGCUUUUGUAAAAGGAUCAGCAAUGUUUUGCUGAGAAGAAAUCUGGGUUACUACAACGUCACCACGAUGUACAAUUUCCCUGAUAAGAUGGUACUUGCGUUCAAUAUGCUUUCCUCUUUUAUGGCUUCUAGGUUCUCUUGAAUUUGCAACUGCACCACUGUUGUCACAGUAUAAAGUGAUUGGUAGAUGCAUAUUUGGAACGACUUCCAAAUCUGUCAAGAAUUUUCUUAGCCAUACUGCUUCUUUUGCUGCUUCACAAGCCGCUACGUAUUCAGCUUCCAUUGUGGAAUCAGCUAUACAAGUUUGCUUUAUGCUUCUCCAAACUACUGCUCCUCCAUUUAGAGUAAAUACUGAUCCUGAUGUAGACUUUCUAGCAUCUUUAUCAGUUUGGAAAUCUGAAUCAGUGUAUCCAGUAAGGAUCAGAUCCUUUGUACCAUACAUGAGCAUGUAGUCUUUUGUUCUUCGAAGAUAUUUUAGAAUGUUUUUAACGGCUGUCCAGUGAUCACGUCCAGGAUUGGAUUGAUACCUACUGACCAUCCCUACUGAGUAGCAAAUGUCAGGUCUAGUACAUAACAUUGCAUACAUUAAACUUCCAACAGCGGAAGCAUAGGGAAUAUUUCUCAUAUCCUCAACUUCUUGAGGUGUCUUAGGACAUUGUUCCUUUGACAAAUGAAUUCCAUAUCUGUACGGCAGCAGACCCUUUUUGGAAUUCUGCAUUUUAUAUCUAGACAACAUUUUGUCUAUGUAAGAUGCUUGAGACAUGGCUAGUGUUUUGUUCUUACGGUUUCGAACAAUUUGGAUUCCGAGAACGUAUUGUGCAUCUCCCAGAUCUUUCAUUUGAAAUUGCAUAGCUAGCCAUUUCUUGAUAUCAGUAAGAUAUCCUACGUCAUUUCCAAUAAGUAGAAUAUCAUCUACAUAUAAGACUAAAAAUGCUAUAAUGGAAUUGACGACCUUUUUGUAAACACAAGGCUCGUCAACAUUUUGUUCAAAGCCAUAAGAUUUGAUCGCAGUAUCAAAUCUUAUAUUCCAGGAUCUAGAAGCUUGUUUUAAUCCAUAAAUGGAUUUUUUAAGCUUACAAACCUUUUGUUCUUGAUCUUGUUCUAUAAACCCCUCUGGUUGAGACAUAUAGAUACUCUCUUCAAGAUUACCAUUCAAAAAAGCUGUCUUGACAUCCAUCUGCCAAAUUUCAUAAUCAUAAAAAGUGGCGAUGGAUAAGAGUAUUCUAAUUGACUUUAACAUGGCAACAGGAGAGAAAGUUUCCUCAUAGUCUACUCCCUCUCUCUGGGUAUAACCCUUUGCCACAAGUCGAGCCUUGAAAGUCUGUACUUUACCGGCAUGGUCUCGUUUUCUCUUGUAGAUCCAUUUACAACCAAUAGGUUUUACGUCAUUUGGUUGAUCUACUAGAGUCCAGACAGAAUUAAAGUACAUAGACUCCAUUUCGAGGUCCAUGGCUUUGAUCCAUUGGUCACGAUCUACAUCUUUCAUUGCCUGUUUAUAGGUUAAUGGAUCCUCUAUGCCAUCGUCAGGUAUGACGACUUGAGUUUCAAUUAAACCCAAAUAGCGAUCAGGCUGAUGAACAACCCUCCCACUACGUCGAGGCUCUCUCAACUGUUGAGAAGGAUGUGAUUGUCCAGAUUUCCUAGUCUUAUCAACUACCUUAGUGGAUGAACUAGGUUUAUCUAUAGCACUUUUGGAAAUUUCUUUUAAUACUAGUUUACUACGAGGUUGAUGAUCCCUGAUGUGGUCUUCCUCUAAGAAUGUGGCAUUUGUUGACACAAAUAUUUUAUUUUCUUGAGGAUCAUAAAACAAACCACCUCUUGAUUCUUUUGGAUAACCUAUAAAAAAGCAUAAUUUUGAACGAUGUUCCAAUUUCUUUGGAUUUUGUACCAACACGUGUGCUGGACAACCCCAAAUUCUAAAAUGACGUAAACUGCCUUUACGCCCUUUCCAUAGCUCAUAAGGUGUUUCUGAAACACUUUUAGAGGGAACAUUAUUCAAAAUAUAAGCAGCUGUUUCUAAAGCAUAUCCCCAAAAAGAAUCUGACAUCUGAGAAAAACUCAUCAUAGAGCGAACCAUGUCUAACAAGGUCCGGUUUCUUCUUUCUGAUACACCGUUCUGUUGAGGUGUACUAGGUGCAGAGAGUUGUGACUGGAUUCCAUUUUCUAUUAAAUAGUCUCGGAAUCGUAAGUCCAUAUACUCUCCACCUCGAUCUGAUCGAAGUAUUUUUAUUGUUUUACCUAAUUCGUUUUCUACUUCAGCCUUAUAUUCUUUGAACUUUUCAAGACUAUUAGACUUAUGAUGUAUUAGGUAAAUAUGACCAUACCUUGAAUAAUCAUCAAUGAAGCUAAUGAAAUAUUCAUAUCCACCUCGAGCUUUGACAUUCAUUGGUCCACAAAGGUCCGAAUGUACGAGCUCUAAGGGUCCUUUGGCUCUUAGACCUUUUCCAGUAAAAGAUCUCUUGGUCAUUUUUCCUUCAAGACAAGAUUCACAAGGAGGUAAAGAGUUAUCUUCUAACGGACUUAGAAGCCCACUUUUAACCAAUCUCCCAAUCCUAUUGAGAUUUAUGUGACCAAGUCUUAAGUGCCAUAAAUAGGCAUUAGAAGAAACUUUUUGUCUUUUAUUCUGAGUUUCAGCUGUUCUGAAUAUUUCAGUAUUUAAGACAAAAUUUGCUCUAGUUGGUCUUAACUUAUAUAAGUUGUCUUCAAGUAUAGCAGAACAAACUAGAAUACCUUUAUAGAAAACGAACGCUUCAUUAAUUUUCAAAAGAUAUUCUAUACAUUUGUUCCAAAAUACAAGAGAUAGAUAUUAAAUUUCUUUUCAUUUGAGGUACAUAUAAGACAUUCUUAAGUAUGACAUAUCUAUCUCUAAAAAACAACUUUAAAUCUCCCACUGCUGAAGCUGAGACCAUCUCUCCUGUUCCAACCUUGAGAGUGAUCUCGCCUUCUGAAAGCUUUUUCCAAGAACUAUUUUCCUGAAAUGAGAAGCAAAUAUGGUUAGUGGCUCCUGAAUCUAGUAUCCAGGUACAAUUUUCAUAUUCCACUAAACAUGUUUCUACAACUAGUAAAUCAUAUUUACCUUGUGUUUCCUUCUCUGCCUUUUUUUCUGCAAGGUAUUUUGGGCAGUUUCUUAACCAGUGCCCGUUUUGGCCACAAUGGUAACACUUACCUUUUUCUGCACCUUUCUUACCCUUGUUCUGUUUGGGAGUCUUUCCCUUUCCCUUCUUUUUUAUUUGAGCAUUAGGUUUUGAGGGUCCAGCUUUGGUUUUAGAGGACGAUCCUCUUAUAAAUUUUCUUUUUGUGGUAGCAACAUUUGCUUCCACUUGUUUUCCUUUACCCAUAGUAAGGUUUUGGAAUCGCUGGAGUUCAUUCAGAAGGGUUGUCAAGUUAAAUUCUAUCUUGUUCAAAGACGCAUUCGUUUGGAAUGGAAUGAAGCUCUUCGGAAGAGACUCUAAGAUAAAACUAACUUGAUUAACCUCUUCGAUGGGACCACCAUUCACUUCAGCGAUGUUGAAGUGCAUCAUCAUGUCCAGAACAUGUUCUCUAACAGAGGUCCCUUCCUUCAUACGCUUAGUGUAAAUGUAUUUGACUGCCUCGUGUCUUAAGGACCAUUCUGGUUGCCCAAACAUUCCCCUUAAUGAAUCCAUAAUCUCUUUAGCCGUGGCUAAGGAUUCAUGUUUCUUUGCCAAUACAUCAGACAUGCUGGCAAGAAUGUAGACACGGGCUUUUUCAUUAGCUUUUAUCCAUCGAUCAUAUGCAUCCCGACUAGUUCGGUUAGCAUUAGAGGCAGGGUUUUGAGGACAUUCCUCAGUUAAGACAAAUCUUAAAUCGUCAACCACUAGUAUUGUGUUAAGAUUUGAUUUCCAAGCCGCAUAAUUAUCGCCAUUAAGUUUUUCGGAAGCUAAAAGUUGAACUAUUGAGCUAUUCAUGCUGAAAAACAAACAUAUUCUUUUUAGGAAAAAACUAUAAUCAUAAAAAAUAUCCAAUCUAAUUUAGCAAUUACUAAUAAUGUACCCUUUCAUUAUUUGUAUUUUGCAACAAUAUUUCAAAGGUUUAGAACAACCUUCUCCGAAGGGUAGUUGAUUAUUCCUCCUUUGAACCAAGACAAUCUUGACUAGAUGCUAUCUCUAGAAUAACUGCUUAUUCUUUAUAGCACUUAGUUAUCGCUACUUUAGUCAAGAAUAUACUAACAACUUAGUAAUUCUUGUAAGUGUUACCCACCAUUUUCAGAUUUCAUAGAUUAGAAUCAUUUAUGAAAACUAAUCUAAGAAAACCUAUCCAGAUUUGGAGUUCGCGGUGUUCCGAAUCCUAUAAUACAACCCUCCGAAGGGAACGUCGCUCCAGGGCAGACAAGCAGGCAUAUUAUAGAAAUCUCACGGUGCGACCUAAUGGAAGAGACCGUGGGAUGUGCUGCCACAAAUCCCUCACCCACUUACUAUGAACUACUUCCCCUAUUCACCUUGAUUUUGAUCCAUGCAAACACUCUCCGAAGGGAGGCCGCUCCUAUGCACGGCACAAAGCCCUACAUGGACCUCACGGUGUGAACUCUUAGGGACACUAGAGCUAAAAUACAUUAUUUUUCUCUAGUUGAAGUGUUCUAAAGAAAAAAAAUAGGGUAAUCCAAGCUUCAAGAUUUAUAUUUAGGUUAACUUAAACAAAUCUUAAGUCUAGAUAAACAUCCAAGUAUAACCAUUAUACAGGAUUUUAACUAUGAUGUCUAGGUGAUAAACCAUUUUUAUUACCUCACACCUCUCACGAAAGCUCAUAAAACUAGGUUAACUAGGCUCAAGAACUGAUUACGAUCUCUAGGUAGGAGGUGCUCCGUAAACCGUCAACUUAAGAACCUCCAGCCUUAGUUAUCUUAUCUGACUUGUUGACAAGAUUGAAUCAGGUGAGCCUUUUAUAACCAAUUUUACAAGAUAUCGACCUAUUUCUAUGAAAAAUGGAAGAUAUGUUUAACCUAAGCGAGCAUGCAUUUAAUCUUUGUUAUUGAUUUUAAAAGUCUAAUUUAUUUUAUAACACUUAUAAAACUUUUAGACUUAAUCAAUCAUUUUAUCAAUAUAUAACCUUAUAAAAACAAUCAAUUAAUAUGGAUUUUAAUUAUUUACUUUAAAUUAAAUCAUAUUUAAUUAAAUAAAUCAAAACAAUAAUUAAUAAUUUGAUUAAUCAUAUUUAAUCAAGAAUAACUUAAUUAAUUAAUCAUAUUAAUUAAUUUCCAUAUUAAUCAAUUAACACGCAUACAAUACAAUAUAACCUUUAUAUCAUACAUUUUAAUGUAUGAACAUGUUAACCUAUGGUGGGAUUUUAAAUCUAAUAUGACAUUCAAAAUGCACAUACAAAUUUAAAGUAAUUUAAUCAUACAUCACAUGCAUAAAUAAAAACACCCUAAAAUGGACUGAUUUUGGCUCCUAAAUUAAGCUAAGUACUAAAUUAUUACAUAAUUAAUUUGGUGUAGUACGGAACCACUCCCAAAAACUUCGAACCGGCUGAAAAACCAACCGAAACCGCUUGAACCGACCCAAAAACCAAAUUUAUUGGCUUGAACCGGCCGAAUUAACUAAACAGGCCCAAGCGCACACGGGUCGGGCGCAGGCGGGUCGCGAAGCGGGUCAAGGCCGGGUUUUCGGGUCUGUGACCUUCUUUUCUUCAUUUUUUUCAAUUCUCUCACCCGGUUGAACCAAUUACAGCCUAACUUCAACUCUAAUGACUUUUUUUUAUUUUAAAAAAAUACAAACACUUUGCAACAAUAAAAAUAAGCCAUUAACAAGGCUAAAUACAAUAAUUAGAACAAAAACACUUAAUCUAGAGCCAAAAUCAUAAUAUAUCCAUUUUAGUUCAAACCAAAAUUUAUCUAAUAAAUAUGAACCCACCACAUGCAAUUGGGUAAAAAUGAAGCAUGCUCUGAUACCACAUGAUAGAACUCAGUCAUGCACAGCGGAAAAAGAAUCGAAUUUCUACCCUAAUUGCCACAAUUAACAUGUAACCAUAAAACUAAUCAAAUUAGGGUUUUAAGAAAUAUUACCUUUGAAGCUUUCAAAAGGUUUGAUAUCUUCUUACCAAUUCUAACCGAGACCACCACUAGUACUUCAACUGCUGUCCUCUAGACAAAGAACCGGGUUGUGGGACCCAAUUUUGGUGUAGAAAGUAAUGGAGAUAAAAUGGGAUUGGAAGGUUUCUUUUUUUUUUCCUUUUGUUGAGAUGAUGAAAAUGAUAAAAGAGGCAAAAGUUCUUUAACAUUUGAAAACACCUCUAUUUAUAACUUAAUUACAUGCAAAAAUGCAUGCAAUUCAUUUGCCAAAUCUCAACACCUAAUGUUCCAUUAACAAUUAGUGGAACUAAGAGUUAGUGGGAUUAUCCAACAAAAUGUUGGAUUUUCC
rnacentral:lncRNA from 1 species